GACGAAGGAUGCAAGCGUUAUCCGGAUUCAUUGGGUUUAAAGGGAGCGUAGGUGGCCUUAUAAGUCAGUGGUGAAAUCUCUGGGCUUAACCCAGAACGGCCAAGUGAUACUGUCGCGCUAGAGUGCGGAAGGGGCAAUCGGAAUUCUCGGUGUAGCGGUGAAAUGCGUAGAUAUCGAGAGGAACACCUGAGGUGAAGACGGGUUGCUGGGCCGACACUAACGCUGAGUGCGCGAAAGCCAGGGGAGCAAACGGG
rnacentral:rRNA from 1 species